AGAGUUUGAUCCUGGCUCAGGAUGAACGCUAGCUACAGGCUUAACACAUGCAAGUCGAGGGGCAUCAGGAAGAAAGCUUGCUUUCUUUGCUGGCGACCGGCGCACGGGUGAGUAACACGUAUCCAACCUGCCCUUUACUCGGGGAUAGCCUUUCGAAAGAAAGAUUAAUACCCGAUGGCAUAAUGAUUCCGCAUGGUUUCAUUAUUAAAGGAUUCCGGUAAAGGAUGGGGAUGCGUUCCAUUAGGUUGUUGGUGAGGUAACGGCUCACCAAGCCUUCGAUGGAUAGGGGUUCUGAGAGGAAGGUCCCCCACAUUGGAACUGAGACACGGUCCAAACUCCUACGGGAGGCAGCAGUGAGGAAUAUUGGUCAAUGGGCGCUAGCCUGAACCAGCCAAGUAGCGUGAAGGAUGAAGGCUCUAUGGGUCGUAAACUUCUUUUAUAUAAGAAUAAAGUGCAGUAUGUAUACUGUUUUGUAUGUAUUAUAUGAAUAAGGAUCGGCUAACUCCGUGCCAGCAGCCGCGGUAAUACGGAGGAUCCGAGCGUUAUCCGGAUUUAUUGGGUUUAAAGGGAGCGUAGGUGGACUGGUAAGUCAGUUGUGAAAGUUUGCGGCUCAACCGUAAAAUUGCAGUUGAUACUGUCAGUCUUGAGUACAGUAGAGGUGGGUAAGAUUCGUGGUGUAGCGGUGAAAUGCUUAGAUAUCACGAAGAACUCCGAUUGCGAAGGCAGCUCACUGGACUGCAACUGACACUGAUGCUCGAAAGUGUGGGUAUCAAACAGGAUUAGAUACCCUGGUAGUCCACACAGUAAACGAUGAAUACUCGCUGUUUGCGAUAUACAGUAAGCGGCCAAGCGAAAGCAUUAAGUAUUCCACCUGGGGAGUACGCCGGCAACGGUGAAACUCAAAGGAAUUGACGGGGGCCCGCACAAGCGGAGGAACAUGUGGUUUAAUUCGAUGAUACGCGAGGAACCUUACCCGGGCUUAAAUUGCAGUGGAAUGAUGUGGAAACAUGUCAGUGAGCAAUCACCGCUGUGAAGGUGCUGCAUGGUUGUCGUCAGCUCGUGCCGUGAGGUGUCGGCUUAAGUGCCAUAACGAGCGCAACCCUUAUCUUCAGUUACUAACAGGUCAUGCUGAGGACUC
rnacentral:rRNA from 1 species